UCGACCUGAGCUCAGCAAGACU
rnacentral:rRNA from 1 species